UUAGCAGCUGACGGUAGGUAAAUUGUUGCGAGGACCAAGUCUGAAGCAACUAACUAUGACAGUGUGUAUGGAGAACCUAUUCCUGUUAAGGAACUUGCUGAACGCGUGGCUAGUUAUGUGCACCUUUGCACACUGUACUGGUGGCUCAGACCUUUUGGAUGUGGCGUCAUACUAGGAGGUUAUGACAGAGAUGGACCACAAUUGUACAUGGUUGAACCUUCUGCUGUUUCCUAUAGAUAUUUUGGUGCUGCAAUUGGGAAAGGGAGGCAGGCUGCGAAAACA